GAAAAUGGGCAUUCAAUGCAAUUUUGCACAGAGCCCUUUCUCUUGAAAAUAAGAAUAACAAUAGCUAGCUUGUAUGCAACAUUUUACAUCAAGAGAUUUCAAAAUCCUUUACAAAAGUAGUCAAUUACAUUUGCUUUGUUUAUUUGAAUAGCAAAGUGUAGAAACUUGAAGUUUCCAAAAAGACUGUCUUGGAACCUGGAAUACAGCGGAGAUCUCCUGAGUCCCAGUCAGCUGGCCAUCAAAUCUACAGAAAUGAUAUGAUUUACCAGAUAUAGCCUAAGCCUCUGAAGAAUGUCUGUUAGAUCUGCUUGUUAUGAAGUCAGUGUAGAAGUCUGCUGUGGAAAGUAAUUGUAAUUGGAUACUUGAGUAUAAUUUUCUCAAAGGCAACUUGCAAAAAAAGGCAUAUUUUUAAAUAAGAAUUAUUUUUAUGUGUUUUUUAUGACUGUUUCACAUCCAGAUAUUCAAUUUUUGUUUGCCUUGAAAGCCUCUUUAAUUUUGUCUGUAUCAUAGUGGGAGAAAAACAGCCCUUGGUAACAGACUAUCAUUAAUUCAUAUGAAUCAUGGAAUAGUGCUGUUGUGAGACUUGUUAUAGGCUGAACUCCCAAACUCAUUUUUAUCACCAUUUUAAUUAAAAGGUUUCAAGGAACAAGGUAGCAAAAAAUGUCAAGCAAGAAGGGGUGCUGGAACCACUGGGAAUUGUCUUCCCUAGUAUUCUUUAAACAGUCCAGACUACCUAACGAGUUAAAAAUGAAAACUUCUGUGAUUUUUCAGUGAAUUGUUUAAGAAAUUUCCACUCUUCUCCCACAACUAACCUAUCAGGGUAAGAUGGACUGUGACUCUUGUAUAUCAAGACAAUGUAUAUCUCAGUGUACCAACUCAGUAAUGUUGAGAAUGAAGUGAUCUUCAUUGGAGGUUCAGUCUCUAGCUUUUCAGCAAAAGCAAUAACUUUUGAAAAUAAACAUUUCCUAUAACAAUGUUCUUUUCAGAUCUACUAUUCUAAUACCUUCAGUUUUUACCACUUUCCUAAGACAUGACAAAACAGACUAAGUGUUCAGUUGGCCAGAAAGUAAGUGGCUUAUUUACUUAAGAGUCAGAUCUGCGGGAGGUCACGUCCCAUGUACCAGUGUAUGUUAUGUAGAGCUAAGGCUAAGUGUCUAGUCAUCAGUCCCAACAGUGACCUUCCAGUACGCCACCAUGUGUGGCCUCAAGAACAUGUUUCACAAAAAUUCUUCAUAAAGGUAUGAUUAUAAUACUUAAGUAAAUUAUGAUAGUUCUUUAACCACUGAACAUCAGGGUUGUUUUUUUGUUGUUGUUGUUUGGUUUUCUGUUUUCGUGUGUGCUUGUUUGUUUCUGUGGGAUAGGACAAAAUCACAGCACCAGCAUGAACUGCUUAAUAGCUAGGCCAAAGUAGUUUGAAUUUUGUUCCCUUCUUUUUCAGAAAAAUGUUGUUUUUAUACGUUAGUAUAAACAAGCAGAUCUCCAAGAAAAUUUCUCACAGAUGAUAAAUUUGCAGCAUUCAACUAUGAGGAAAAUAUCUAGAAAAACAAUUUAUUAUUUGAGAUUAUAUUAUCUGUGCUUGACUGUUUGCUUGGUAUAAAAUUUUAUCCAGGCAAAACCAUUCUGCUUUAUUUUUUCUUAAGUGUCAAUUUAUCUUGAAAGCAAUAUUUUGUUUGUGUGAACUAUAUGAAGUGAGAGAUUGCUACUUUAACCAUGUUAAAGAAAAAAUUAGGAAUAAAAUUUAAAGGAGGAACAAAUGGUGCAAACUUAGGCCGAAAGAAGGGCCUGGAGGAGAGAUGCACUUAAAAAUGCAGUUGAUGGUUUUGUAUAUAAAACUUAACACAACAGUUAUAAAGAUAAAAAUGAGUAGUGGAAACAAUCCCGCUUUCCUUUGAAGUUGAACAUAUUUUCACUACCCAGACCCUUCAUUUCAUAGGAAGUUUCCUGUAAUGAAAUAUGCAAAGAAAGUAUAUUGCAAGUGCUUUCAGCAGGACAGAUAUGAGACAUCAUAGUUCCACUCUUUGUAUUAACUCAUGUUGCAAAAGAGUGUCCAUUAUCCUCUGCAUAAAGUUGUUCAUUGGCCUGAUAAAUGGACCAUGGCAGGUAGUCAUGAGAAAGAAUAAAAUAUUGUGGCAUGCAAUAUUCAUGUCAGCUGGGUUGUAUUAUAUUACUGCUCCUUGAUACCAAUGUACUAUGGCCAAACGUUUUAAGGCUCUACUUAAAGUUAGAUUUUUUAUUUCCUGAGGAACUUGGUGUUACUCAACAGCAUUCAUCUAAUUUGGUGACUGAACUGAGCAAUACCCCAAAGGUAAGCAAAAUUGAGAAGCAGUAAGUUGCAAUAAAAAGCAAAUGCUUCUGCAAUUGAACUAUAUUAAUAUUAUAGUAAAUUGAUUCAGUCAGAAUCUUCUCUGGACACUUUUGUGAAAUCACCUAUCAAUCACUGGCUAAGGCUGAGGAUGAACGACAAAUUAAAAAUUUUUUUAUGCCCUAGGCAUACUUUCACUCAUUUUACUUUGAUACCACUGUUACGUGAACCAUCUUCUUUCCUUUUAAUGAUCUACGAUAAGAUAAAAACAGUCCAGUCUUUUUCUCCCUUCUCCCUUCGGGAAUAUUCUGGCCCAAGAUGUUCAAAGAUGGCUGCCUGAGAGUAGGUAGGGCCUCAUUGUUCUGGUAAGAAACAUACAGAUGUUUCAAAUGAUUGUCGGACAGCAGCAUUAGCUACCAGUCACAUACAAAAUUAAUUUAAAAAGGAGACCUUUUUAUUUAUUAAAAGUAUUCACAAUCUGAAGCAGCCUUGCUCUCCCCAGUGUCACUGACAGAAGCCCCCAAAAGCAUCAAGGGCAGUGACAGAGGUGUCUUCUCAGCUUGGAUGAGAGGGCGAUUCUUACCUUUCCUUCAUCUGUGACCUCAGGCUUUCACGGGAGAGAAACAGGAGCAAAAGCAAGGAGAGUCACAGAGGCCAGAGAGAAAUAUUGUCUUGAGGUUUUCAGAAUUUGCUUGCCUUGACCUUUCAAGGUAGAAUGGGAAGAAGAGGAUGAGGUUAUGUUCCAUGGCAUUGCGUCAUGGAGAAAGCAAAUGGUCACUGUGUUUGGAAUAGGAAACUGAAGGCAUCAUGAGGAUAUCACAGCAUUAGUUACAAGCUAUUUGUGACCAAGAAGUCAACGUGUCUUUGGGCAGAUUGUACUUGGAUGAGCCAGUGGAGACCUCAGGAACAGAGAAAAGGGGUCCUGAAGUCGUCCUUGUUCCAUAAAGCUGAGAGUCAGAUUUUUAAAGAAAAUGAAAGCCAAGAUUGGACAACAAGGAAUGGUGUAUACAGGGGAUUCAGAAAUGAAACAAACACCAUUGAAAAUUAAAUGUAAGGGUCUGAUUCAUUGCUACCAUUCGUAUCAGCUGAGAACAAUUUCAUUAAAAUCUACAGGUAAGUUAUCAACCUCCCAAACUCAUGUAGUCCAUUGAAAAUUCUGCCAGGAUCCUCACUGGAAAGGGAAGAGCUACAAUCGUAUGCAAGUAAGAGCAAAUGUAAGCCCUGUCAUUUGACCAGACUGAAAAUUAGAUAAUGUCCUCAGCUGUUAUAAAUGUCAUGGUUUUGCUUUGGUUUUUUUUUCCUUGAAGAAAUACUGAUUUGGCUGUCUGAUGAAAUGAAACUUCAAGGCUGAAUUUCAGAUCUAACUUAGACUUCAGUGGAAAAAAAAAGAUGCCCGCAUGAUCUGAACAGUUAUAUUCAUUUUAGAUGCAUAAAUGUUUAUUCAUAAAAGGGUAAAAUCCAUUUAUUUUGUUCUGUUUUUGAAUAUGUGUCACAUGGUCUGUUUGCAAGCUUAUGCUUCUAUUAAGGUGCCUAAAUACUUAGAGAAUUUGCAGACCCCAAUGUGUGGCUCUGCAAACUCCUAAAUAAGUUAUCAUUGGCUUCAUGAAGCAGCUUCUCCACUGUAACUGAGCAAAUGAUCAGCUCCAGGAUGAAAAGACCAUAAAAACUAGUGAUACAAUACUCUUUAUUACAAAAAAAACCUGAACUCAGCACAAGUAAAAAUUAUUUAUGAAAGGAAGGGUACUGCUACUCAAAGCUUAAAUUAACCAAUUCCUUUUUAGAAACUGUUCUUUAAUGGGUAGUUGUAAAACUGAGGAUACCUUUGGUUCCCUCUUGCUGUUCCCCCUUCAUGGUAGGUGAUAUUACAAGUCAAUGUUUUAAUUUUAAAUGCAUGGCUUGAAUACGCUAGGUAUACCGCCAUAGAUCUUCCACUGCACAGCUAGAGUUAACUAGAAAAGUUAGUUCCACCCUCAGAUAAGAGACUGUCCUGACUGUUCUUCUCUGCAGAUAUGAGAAAACAAAGGCUAUGACCUGAGUAACUCAGUAUAUUGUACAAAGAUCCAGAGGUUCGCAAAUCCUUACCUUGCUUGCUUCCAUGGCUACUCUGGGAUAACAUUUUGUUUUUACAGUCCCUUUACUGAUGCAAUCCUUCUGCAGCGUAGACACUCCACAGCUGUGGAAGCCAAAAACCUUUAUCUAUCCACAGAACAGAUAAACAGCAGCAAUGAAAGUUUCUCCACCCUGUGUUUUGCAGAGACUAUGCCAGCGUGCAGGCUAGCAGCACUGUGCUCCAUACCACUUCUGCUACUGGUUCAUGGGUGCCACAGCACCACUGAAAGUCUCAAGAGAUGAUGCUAUUACUACAACCCCUACUAUUUAUUUUUUAUCUAUGAAAGGGAAUGAAAAUACGUGUUUUGCUUACACAGUCCUCUGAAGAUCCAUUAGGUGGUACUGAUGGUGCUUUCGGCUGCUGGCAUCUGUUCUAGCUGCGGUUUGAGUAAGGGACCUGGAAGGUAGAAGGUUUUCAAAACCUGUCUGCUUGCCAGUCCCCUGAGUUAUCCUGUCUACGCUGGUAUCAACGUAUUGAAAGAUGCGUGAUACCAAUCAGCCAGCCAGGUGCAGAGUGACAGUUUACUGAAUGAGACAAGCAUGUGAGCAUGAAGUAAAGAUGCAGAAUUUCUCUUGCGAGGCCUUUUAAACACUCUUACUGAAUUAUGGUUUUUCAAAUAAUGUUAGUGAAAAGCUUUUGGAAAGUGUUCUGUGCUGUUCCCUCAUAGCCCUCCUCCAUAGGCAUUUAGCAAUCCACAGCAUUGUGGAGAAAAGAUAAAUGCUCUGAGUGCGUCUUUCUUUUUUAGAAAAGACAGAACUUUAAAGGAUGUUAAAAGGAGAUAUAAUCAUAUCAUGUAUAAUUCUACUUAAUGUAGUUUCCUCCACAAGUGUUAUUCUACAUUUCUUUCUUUGACAAUAUUUCUUUUAAGUGCCAGUGUUCUGAAUGGGACUAUGAGCGAGGCUGCCACACGUAACCCAUCCUGAGCAGAAGUUGGGUCAAAAUGCUAACUCCGGUAUUCUGCUAGCUUUUUGUUGUUAUUGUUUGCAUGUCUGAUAAAGGCAAAAUCGCACACACAAUCAAAAUGUCCCUUCUGGUGUGAGCUGCUCCCACAUCCUUUUCCUUCUUUGCUCAGAGCUUUUAAAGAGUUCAUUUUUAUGGGACUUGGGAGUUGAGCCUCCUAUUUUUGGCACACCAUCCAUACUUCUGACUUUGCAAGGAAAGGGUUUGAGCUUAUAAGGAGUAUUGAUUGAUAUUACAGGGUAUGUGAGUUGUGCCCAGAUCCAAAUACUCAAGAGUGCUGAAGGCUUGCAGUUUCUGGGUAUACACCCUGUUCUCUGCAGCAAGCAACAACCAGAAGGCUGUCUCUGUGAAAAUGUACUCCCUACCCUUGGCAUCCUUUCAGUCAGGCAGAAGCCUUGCAUAGUCCAAGUCCUCCAAAGCAUCCACUGCUUUGCUGUCACAGAGGCCAGUUUAUCAGACAGUAAAGGUGAUGACAGCUCUUUAAAGUUACUCAAGAUACACAUGGAUUUACUCUAGUUAAGGACUUGGCCCAGAUUCUUUUUUUGUUUGUUUGUUUUAAUGCAUUAACAGAUGGCAAAUAUGCACUGAACGUGGCCAAACUACUGGUUUUUGAGGGCAAUGACUGCUUGCUAUGCUAAUUUGAGGUUUUACUUUAUGCAAGCUAACCUGGAGGGACACAGUUCAGAGUUGGGUAGAAGAAGCAGAAAGACUCAAGCUGCAAAGUGCAGAGCUGGAUAUCAGUAACCCAUUUAAAGCUGGGGUGUGGAUGCAGGGGUGUGUGUGUGCUCAUUCUGAAGAAAUUCAGAAAACAAGGUAGGAGGAGAUGUUAAGAGAUCUCCUACUUCAUACAUUUAUCUCAUUCAUUCAUGUCAAGAUGAAGUCACUAGCACAACGUAGAUCUCAGUUCAGUAUUCAAGCACCUUCCCUAUGUGAAGGUAUUUGACUUCAUGGAUUGGAUUCAGGCCAGCUGACAUUCCACCACAGUCUGAUAUUCACACAUUCUCCUAGAAAUUUUAUCAUGGGGACAUAAUGUAAGUGCUCUGGUGUGUGGUGGAACUUGAUUAGUAAUCAGCAUCUAAGGAUAGAGGUUUAGAGAUGUGUAUGAAACAAACGUCCACAGAUUUUUCUCAUCUGUCAGUUCUUUUGACACCAACACUCUGUCUGUACCUGCAAACUGUGCCAUGCUAUUGCAGCGAUGUAGAAAAAAGUCAACAUUUCCCACAAAAGUCUGUUACAGCAGAAAGUAACCCAGAAUAAAGUUCCUACUGACUGAAGUUGGGCAGUUUGCUGUCUAGUUCAGACUGUGCAGCAACAGAAUAGAAAUAAAAUACAGUUUUGAACACUUUGAAGAAUUACCAUUAACAAAAUAUAGCAGCAUAGGGCAUUUUUUUUUAAAUGGUAACAGUUCUAUCCGUGAAUACAGUGGAAAGAUGUAUGGGAAAAUGGAAGGCAGAAUUUAUCCUAAAGACCAGUAAAGCACAUACUACAGCCUCCCCUGACCUCUAGUAGUAUCUAGUGAAUGCUUUGUACGACAGUUUACUUUGUAGUUCUUUCUCUUUCUUUCGUCCAAGAAUUGUGAUAUCCUCAUGUUGUACCUGAUUCCACGUUGUUUCUCAAGAUCAUAUGUUCUUGUGCAUUACUUGCUUUUUUUCAUUUAUGAUUCAUUUCAUUUAUGAUUUAAGUGAACCAAGAAGCCAUCUUCAUGAGUGAAAAAUCACACUGACCUCACCUGAAAGAAGACUUCAAAAUCAUUCCAGUUAUUACAGACUGAAUCGUAACAUACUAGACAUUCAGCUAUUUUUUUAAUGUGUGCUUUAAUUGAACAAAAGCAUAUUUGAUGUGUUUAAUUUACACAUCUAUUACAGGGUAGAGCUUACUUAGCCACUCAGUUCUAGUACAAUUUGCUGCAAAGUUAGCCACAUUUUGGUCAAAUAAUCUUACAACCAAGACUGAUUUCUCUGAGCAUUUUUGCCAGCUGGGACUCUAUUAGGUUAGAGCAGUGUUUUAUUCAAUUAGGACCUGUGGGCACUAACGUAAAACCAAUAAAUAAUAAUAUGUUGUUGUAGAAUAGUUUGGAUAAAUAAUUACUUAAUUCCACAGAUAAAGUAAGAACUAUUUGCUGUUGUUGUGUCAUUGGCCACAGAAGUCCCAUGACAUUGCUUCCGCUCUCCGGCUGUAUGGUUGAAGAUUUUUCAAUGGGAGAGAGUGAGGGGCUGCCCAGCAAUAACCUAAUAAGCAGGAGGGGGAAGCUCAUUGAAAAACAGCACUGAGACAGUUGUGACUAGUUGCACAAAGUAAAUGUCAAGAAAGAAAUUCCUCUCUGGGAAAGCGUGUCAGGCAAGCCUCCGGCAUGUAUAUCUGGAUUUCACCCUCUAAAAUAACAUUAGCUGGACAACAUUUAGCUCCUACGUUUGCAGAUCUCAGCCUGACUCUGCCAAGUGCUGAUUCCAAUCCAUCCCAAUGGACUUCAGGGGCACCGAAGAGCAACUGAGCACACCGAGAGACAAUAUCCAUCAUUCUGCAGGAUCAGAGCCAUCACAUGAUACAAGAGGCCAGCUUUUCCUCUGACAUAUACAAGGGGAUGAAGUACUCAAAGAUCAAUACAGCAAACUGGUGCCAGCAGUGUUCACAUUACAGACGAAUCCUGCUUGGUCUGUGCUCCAUUCAGUCAGUCCAAGUCCACGGUACACCAGCAGGUGCAGAGCAAGCUCAUCCACCCCCAUGACACAACAUGUGAGGACAGAAACCUAUUUCCAACACAAUGAUGUCUACUGAACUUCUGUCUUCCUGAUGUGUCUUGUCUUCCCAGAGGCAACAUGCAGAGAGCUGGGCAAGGGAUCGUUUUGUUAUAAAACAACAGGUGAGCAUGAAACAGUCCAAUAGAAAAAGAAAUAUGCAAGGGACAGAGAAAAUGCGAAGUUGGGUGGUGCCUGAAAACACAUCCCCAUCACCCUUACACAGCACAUCCUAUAAAUAAAGCUGGAGUCAACGUGA